rnacentral:rRNA from 1 species
CGAUACGGGCAGACUGGAGUACUGCAGGGGAGACUGGAAUUCCUGGUGUAGCGGUGGAAUGCGCAGAUAUCAGGAGGAACACCGGUGGCGAAGGCGGGUCUCUGGGCAGUAACUGACGCUGAGGAGCGAAAGCGUGGGGAGCGAACAGGAUUAGAUACCCUGGUAGUCCACGCCGUAAACGGUGGGUACUAGGUGUGGGUUUCCUUCCUUGGGAUCCGUGCCGUAGCUAACGCAUUAAGUACCCCGCCUGGGGAGUACGGCCGCAAGGCUAAAACUCAAAGAAAUUGACGGGGGCCCGCACAAGCGGCGGAGCAUGUGGAUUAAUUCGAUGCAACGCGAAGAACCUUACCUGGGUUUGACAUGCACAGGACGACUGCAGAGAUGUGGUUUCCCUUGUGGCCUGUGUGCAGGUGGUGCAUGGCUGUCGUCAGCUCGUGUCGUGAGAUGUUGGGUUAAGUCCCGCAACGAGCGCAACCCUUGUCUCAUGUUGCCAGC